GACGAACGCUGGCGGCGUGCUUAACACAUGCAAGUCGAACGGUAAGGCUCCAGCUUGCUGGGGUACACGAGUGGCGAACGGGUGAGUAACACGUGGGUGACCUGCCCUGCACUUCGGGAUAAGCCUGGGAAACUGGGUCUAAUACCGGAUAGGACCGCACCGUGAGGGUGUGGUGGAAAGUUUUUUCGGUGUGGGUUGGGCCCGCGGCCUAUCAGCUUGUUGGUGGGGUAAUGGCCUACCAAGGCGGCGACGGGUAGCCGGCCUGAGAGGGUGGACGGCCACAUUGGGACUGAGACACGGCCCAGACUCCUACGGGAGGCAGCAGUGGGGAAUAUUGCACAAUGGGCGGAAGCCUGAUGCAGCGACGCCGCGUGGGGGAUGACGGCCUUCGGGUUGUAAACUCCUUUCACCAUCGACGAAGGGUUUCUGACGGUAGAUGGAGAAGAAGCACCGGCUAACUACGUG
rnacentral:rRNA from 1 species